AUGGCUGUCGUCAGCUCGUGUCGUGAGAUGUUGGGUUAAGUCCCGCAACGAGCGCAACCCUUAUCUUUAGUUGCCAGCAUUUAGUUGGGCACUCUAGAGAGACUGCCGGUGACAAACCGGAGGAAGGUGGGGAUGACGUCAAAUCAUCAUGCCCCUUAUGGCCUGGGCUACACACGUGCUACAAUGGUCGGUACAAAGGGUUGCCAAGCCGCAAGGUGGAGCUAAUCCCAAAAAGCCGGUCUCAGUUCGGAUUGGAGUCUGCAACUCGACUCCAUGAAGCUGGAAUCGCUAGUAAUCGCGUAUCAGCAUGACGCGGUGAAUACGUUCCCGGGCCUUGUACACACCGCCCG
rnacentral:rRNA from 1 species